rfam:Triticum aestivum genome assembly, contig: Triticum_aestivum_CS42_TGACv1_scaffold_019500_1AS
GGAUGCGAUCAAACCAGCACUAAAGCAGUGGAUCCCACCAGAACUCCAAAGUUAAGCGUGCUUGGGCGAGGGUAGUACUAGGAUGGGUGACCUCCUGGGAAGUCCUUGUGUUGCAUCCC